CUUCGUUACUUUGGUAGCCCCUUUUGAGUUGUGGGCCCAGGAGAAAGUGCCCCCCCCCCCCUAAAAACGAGCUUUCAUUGACGUCAUUAAUAUAUUCUUACGUCAUAACAUUAAUUAAUUACUUUUCCAACGGAAGUAAAUUGACACUUUUACAAACCGGCGUUCUCGCUCGAAUUCUUGUGAUAACCUUGGAAUUUUGAGCUCGUUUUGCCGUAGUUUUGUAUGGAAAUAUUCUCAAAAUAAACGUUUCUAUAAGGUCUCAAGGUCGUUCUAUUUAAACGAUUUUUAUCGUCUACAAAUGUGAAAUAUUUUUUGGAAAAAACUCGUCUAUAAAAGUCAAGUAUAAAAAUAUUCCGUCAUGGCAGACGACAAGCAAGAUAUGUGGAUUUUUGGCUACGGGUCUUUAAUUUGGAAAACUAACUUUCCUUACAAGGAAAAGGUCGUGGGUCAAAUUCGUGGUUUUGCUCGGAGAUUUUGGCAAGGCAGUACAGAUCACAGAGGAGUUCCUGGCAAGG